rnacentral:lncRNA from 1 species
CUUCCUCACAGAAGCCCUGCCUGGACCCAAGCUCUUCUCUGGGCUCCCCGAGGCCUCUAUCCACUCAUUUACCAGUCAGUUCUGUGAAUGUCAGCUUGUGUGUCUGCUUCCAUGAGGCCAUGUCCCCAGCACCCAGCAUGGGACCCGGAACAUCGUGCUACAUGUGAAGGCCAUCUUCAGUGAAGGCCUGGACUCUCUCCAGGUGCCCUGCUAGUGCCUUCCUACUCUGGAGUCCGCUGCCUGUGGUGGGCUUUGGGCCCUGCCUGAUGCCAGCCAAACGUCCUCCCGUCCCUGGAUCCUCUCUUGCCUCCAGCUCCUGACUCCUAAGGACUCUUUAUGCCCCAGAGCCUCCUUUGCUGAGCUGCCUGAGCUGAGGGCCCAGAACUACUGGCCUUCAGAUUUGGGGUGGCACAUGGUAAGUCCUGGGGCAUUGUGAUGGGCUGGCCAGGCCCAUCCAGGGAUAUCCCUGCCUCUUACUUCCCAGUCAGUCCCAGCCCCAUUCUUCCCUCCCCACACCCCACCAAGGUACACAGGAUGCCCUGUGCUAGCUUCAGAGCUAGACCCUCACCUUUCACAGGCUGGGGAAAGGUCAGCAAAUGUGAAAGGGAGAAAGAGUCACAUUUUCUCUUUUCUUUUCUUUUUUUUUUUUUUUUUGAGACAGUCUCACUCUGUUGCCCAGGCUGGAGUGCAGUGGUGCCAUUUCGGCUCACUGCAAGCUCCACCCCCUGGGUUUAAGUGAUUCUCCUGCCUCAGCCUCCCAAGUAGCUGGGAUUACAGGCGCACACCACCAUGCCUGGCUAAUUUUUGUAUUUUUAGUAGAGACGGGGUUUCACCAUUUUGGCCAGGGUAGUCUCGAACUCCUGACCUCAGGUGAUCCCAAAGUGCUGGGAUUACAGGCGUGAGCCACCGUGCCCAGCCCACAUUUUCUGAUCUCUUUUUUUUUUUUUUUUUUGAGAUAGAAUCUCACUCUGUCGCCCAGACUGGAGUGCAAUGGCAUGAUCUCAGCUCACUGCAACCUCCAUCUCUCAGGUUCAAGCAAGUCUCAUACCUCAGCCUCUCAAGUAGCUGGGAUUACAGGGAUGUGCCACCACGCCCGGCUAAUUUUUGUAUUUUUAGUAGAGACGGGUUUUGCCAUAUUGCCCAGGCUGGUCUCGAACUCCUGGCAUCAAGUGAUCCGCUCACCUCAGCCUCCCACUAUGCUAGGCACAUGUGGCUCACACUUGGGCUAGUUCCCCAGUAUCCAUGCCCCCUUCUUCCAUAGUAAUAGCACUCCUGGUUUUUACCUGGACUUAUGGUCUUUGGGAACAAAGAGCACAUUUCACAGCUCUCUGUGGCCCCAGGACUAAAUGGAAUGUAAGCAGCAUUGCUGUGUAUGUCUUCUGGGAAAUGCCCUUAGAUAGACAGACAUGCACUUUUUUUAUUCUUCCAUCUGCUGCCUGGGCUCCAGCUGCCAUCUUGGUCAUUGGAGGCAAGGGCCACACCCUUGGCAUAGAGGAGUCAUGAGUUGGCAGGAGCCUAAAAUGCCAGAGGAUUUAGCAAAGCAGGGUCCCCACACCACUCCUGGAUCACCUAUUCCCAGAUCCUUACCUGAGUGAGAAACAAACCCUCUUGUUCAAGGCACUGUUAUUGUAGGGUUAUGUUAUUCACAGCUGCUCCUAAUCCUAGGGUGACACGUCACUUUUCAUGAGUUAUGUCAUUUUCAUCCUCACAACAGUCCUGCCAAGUGGAUGUUACCUCAUUUUUAGAGAGAGAAAAGGAGGCUCAAUGAUUUUAUUUUCUAUUUUAAAUAAAAAUUGACUUUCUUUAGUCUGUAUUCUGCUGAAGCCUCAGUGAUUUUAAGCAAGUGGUCCAAGGCCACCCAGCCAGUAUGAUGCCGAAGUGGGCUGAAGCCCUGGUUGCUCUGAUUCCUGGGCCCUGCUCUCUCUGAUUCCUGGGCCCUGCUCUCUCUGAUUCCUGGGCCCUGCUCUCUCUGAUUCCUGGGCCCUGCUCUCUCUGAUUCCUGGGCCCUGCUCUCUCUGAUUCCUGGGCCCUGCUCUCUCUGAUUCCUGGGCCCUGCUCUCUCUCUCUGAUUCCUGGGCCCUGCUCUCUCUGAUUGAUUCCUGGGCCCUGCUCUCUCUCUCUGAUUCCUGGGCCCUGCUCUCUCUGAUUGAUUCCUGGGCCCUGCUCUGUGAGCCCUUGGGGUCACACCCAGGCUGACCUCCCUGUGUGUACAGACCCAGGUUGAUGAACACCCUGUGGUCUUCCCAGGCUUCAUCUGGGUCCAGAAGCAUCUACUGAGCAGGUGGAACUGUUGCAGGGUCAGAGAUGUUGCAGGGUGACCCCAUUCUGUCCCUGUUUUAGCAGUGAAAGUCGCACAUCCCUCAUUCCUGGGCAAAUCAAGACAGUCACCCUAGAGCUGUGGUCCAGCCAGGUCCUGUUGCUGCCCCUUUGGGCACCCAGAACCUGAUCCCUCACAACCUGCUGUUUUCCAGGCAUUUGUGCACCACCUCCCAAUCCUUGGGAUCCUCCAGGCUGUGGUUAGAGGCUGGGACAGGGGUUAAGGUACUAUGAAAAUGAGGCUCAGGCUGGGCGCAGUGGCUCACGCCUGUAAUCCCAGCAACUUGGGAAACCAAAGCAGGGGGAUGGCUUAAGGCCAGCAGUUUGGGACCAGCCUGAGCAACAUAACAAGAAUUGUCUUUACAAAAAAAAAAAAAGCUACCCAGGCAUGGUGGCAGGCACCAGUAGCCCCGGCUACUGAGGAGGCUGAGGCAGGAAGACAGGAAGAUCACUUGACCCUGGGAGUUUGAGGCUGCAGCGAGCUAUGAUCGUGCCACUGCACUCCAGCCUCGGUUGCAGAGUGAGACCUCGUCUCUUAAAAAAAAAAUUAGGCUCAUCAAUGCCAGCAAGAAGUAACAGCCCAAAUCAAGUAAGACCUUGAUUUGUCUUUACAAUGGCCUCGAAAGACAGCAGCCCCCACGUUCAUUUUGACUCUCCAUUGUCCCCUGACUCUCUGUAUAUCCUGUGACCUCAUGAUAACAGAGUCCCUGCCUGCUGGUGAAAUGGGAAAGCUUCCCUUGAGCCCCUUGCAGGGCGUGCGAUGCGGGUAUGACUUGCUUCUUCAGUGCCUCGCUUCUUUAACCUCUAGAGCAGGUUGUGGGGCUCCGGGCCCACAGCAGCGUCUAGGGGUGGAUGAUUACAGCUCCUGAAGCCCCAGCAGGCAUGUGCUACUGUGUGCUUUUAGUUUUGCCGUCUAUAGGCAGCUUGUGUUAACCAGCUCAAUUAGACCCUCUACCUUGUUGCGAGGACAGAGGACUUUCUGUAUCCCGGGUUCUUGCCUUGGUGUUCUGAAGAAUCGGAUCACACCUGAGCUCAGAGAAUGAGUGCAAGGUUUUAUGGAGUG